CUCGAUAAAUCUUGUAACGACCCGACUUGCUUAGUCCCUGACGUUCUUGUCGAGUCCAAAUCAGAUCAUAAAUACAGAUCAGAAUUAUCAGGCUAUGUGAGAUUGUAGAGCUGACUCUUAUGGGUUCAAGAGGUGACUUCUACUAAAUCCGUUGGUGUAGCACUUUGUCCUGCAUAGCACCUAGCUCUUACAUUUCUUGCUGGUAUUCGGCUCUGAUACCAAUUGUAAUGAUCCCAUCCGCUAGCAAUAAUUGUAAUGGUCCAAACCAUCGGCUCAAAGUAUUUAAGUCCAGUUAUUAUUACUAACGUGUAGGUCUCAUAUAUUCUAAUCAGAAUCAGUUUUUCAUCCGACGUGGGACUAUUGGGGCGUUACAAAUCUUCUGGAAGAAAACACAUUU
rnacentral:lncRNA from 1 species